GCUUAAUAAGUUUGAGAAUUGAUUAUAAAAGUAAUUGCUUUAGGAGAUUCACUGCUAGCGGAGAACUGGGUCUGAUCGUCUUGUUUGGUCUUCUCGCUGUGAUGUCCCUUGCUUUUGUUCUUCCCUUCAUCUGUGAUGGUUGGAUCUUUUGCUCCUGGGUUUGGUUGGUGCUUGUAUUGAGGUUGUGCCCCUCUGGAGUUCAACCUGUACUGAAGUUUGUUUGGUGGCCAGUUUGUCUUGUUUGGUUGGGUCUUCCCUCGAUGGGCUGGGGCUCGUUUUGUGGUGUUGUCCCCUCUUUUUCCUUUUCUGUGUUUGUUUGCUCUUUUUUGCUGUUUCGGUUUCCUCUUCCGUAGGUUGUUGGUUUUUGGCAGAUCUGCGCUUUUUCCCGUUUGCGCUGAUGCGGCGUCUCCAGUGGUUCCGGAGGUGACCAGAGCAGGGAAGAUUCAUGAUGCGUUCGGUGGGCAUCCUGUGCUGCACGCUCGGCUUGGUCCGGCCACUGCAGAUUUCUCUGGAUGGCCAGUGCUGCCCCCUCGGGUUUUGUUGUUGGCUCUUUUGUGCUUGAGCUGUGUUUCUUCCGGCUUAGGGGGACGAGUCGCCGAUGGGUUUUGGUUUGGCCGUAAUCUGUGGCGGCGAAUUUCCCGUCCCCCUGAACUGUGGUUUUGUUUUUUGGUUUUUCGUUAGGUCGUGUUGCGCCUUACAUUGGUCCCUUGCUGUACUGCUUUUCGUUACACCGGUUUUGUAACAACUUUUCUUUCUUUCUUUUCAAUAAAAUUUUCAUUUCAGCAGCA
rnacentral:lncRNA from 1 species